ensembl:piRNA 21ur-2069 ncRNA
UGUGUUCGUAACUGAAUUGAG